rnacentral:lncRNA from 1 species
UUCUGGCAGUGGCUCUUCAUCGUCUAGUGGUAUGAUCAAGCUGGCAUUGUGUAGUCCUUCAAUAGUUCCAAAAUUUCUUCAGGGUGCAGACUUUUUACAUUUACAGGUUCUGAGUCGAGGAGCUCAGGGGAUAGUGCCUCAGGAGCUGGCAAUGCACAUUCUUUGACUUAGGGGAGGUUGGUAACAAUAGUAUUUGAAAAUCUGAAUGAUCCGAGUUCGUGUUCUUGGGUGGUUUGUGGCUGUGCAGGGCUAGAGGUAAUUGUAAGUAUGUAGCUGUUUCUGAGACAUGGGUGUCUGUUUAGGCUUCGAUUACGUUAGUAGUAGAUAACAAACUGGCUUUGUGGGUGUCUGACAGCAGUACAGCACCAUGUGUAUGUAAGCUGGAGGUGGAAGGUACUGGUGUAGUGGUGUGAGCUGACCGACCUUCUCGUAUGAAGGGGGCCAGGGCUAGUGUCUGUGUUCUUAAUGGUAGGGUUGUUCUGGUGCAGAUCUCUCAUGUAAUUGAUGCUUUGUGCAUGACAUUAAAGUAUGGUUUUAUAAGUAACAAUGCAGUAUCAUUUGUUGGGUGACGACUUUUGAUGUAAGAGUUAUUUCUGCAUUUUGGAUAGGCCUACGCAAGAUAAAUUUCAACGACCAUGCAAAUUUGUGUUGACUGUUGAGUUUGUUCUGGUGGUGUUGCUGGAUCUAUGAAAAUUACCAUCCUUU